rnacentral:rRNA from 14 species
UCGACUACAUGAAGCUGGAAUCGCUAGUAAUCGUAGAUCAGCAUGCUACGGUGAAUACGUUCCCGGGUCUUGUACACACCGCCCGUCACACCACGAGAGUUUGUAACACCCGAAGCCGGUGGAGUAACCUUUUAGGAGCUAGCCGUCGAAGGUGGGACAAAUGAUUGGGGUGAAGUCGUAACAAGGUAGCCGUAUCGGAAGGUGCGGCUGGAUCACCUCCUUUCUAAGGA